rnacentral:lncRNA from 1 species
GAUGUAUACAUACUUAAGUUGUAUGUAUGUGUUGUAUGAUUACCCACUAGAUAAGCAUUGAAAACAUAAACAUAAUCUUUCCAAAUCAUAGAAACUUUCUAUCUCAGGCAUCAACAUAAAUCAUCAUAAAUCAUUAAUAUGAAAUCAUCAAAUCAUACUUAUAAAUCUGUAACAUCUCGGCUUUUGAUAAAACGUAAGUUUGAUAAAUCAUAAAUAGUGCGUAAAACGUAAAAUCAUGAAAUCAUGCCUUUUGGGUGCGUUUGGUACGCAGACGGAACGGAACGGAACGGGACGCGACGGGACAGAACGGGACGGGACGGGACGGAACGAAGGUGUAAUUUUUGAAAAAGACAUGGGUAUAUUUGUCUUAAAAUGGUAAAACAUUGCGUUCCACAAACGUGGAACAAACCCGUUCCAGGGGGGGAGGUGGAACGCAAAAACACUCAAAAUCUGUCCCGUGGAACAGCCCGUUCCACCCAUUUUUGGCGCACCAAACGCGGGACGGAACGCCUCGUCCCGUUCCGUCCCGUCCCGUCCCACGUACCAAACGCACCCUUUGUGAAUCCAAGCCUAGUAUUUAAAAAAAAAAUCAUGCAAUUUGAAAGGGGUGUACUCAUAUAUACUUGAUAGGUCGCAGCCGUUCUAACUAGGAAAGACGAAGUCUCUGAUAGUAAUUGCACCUAAGCAUAAUAUUGGGACCCAUUAGUAAAACUCAACUAAAACAAUUAAAUUUGGGAAAAUGGAAUGCGGAUUUAGAAUCAAGGCAUCG